AACAGCAAGCUGAGCGGAGGAGGGCACCCUCGACGCCACUAGAUGGCGGAAGAGAACGAGCUGCGCCCAGACCGCGGAGAUGGCUUCUGCUGGCAACAUAGAUUUUUAAGUCAGAACGCACCUCGAUGGAAUUGUUUCAUCAUUAUCAGCAUUUCCAGGAUCACAUCAUCUGAUCCCCCACUGCGUUCAGAGUCUGAUGUUAGGUAAUCUAAGCACUUACUCGAAAAGAGAUUCAUCCGAGAGGGGAAUAAUUAGGUUUACAAGGCAAAUGAGAGCAUUAACGGAAUCCUCAUUUUAAAGACCUGUAGCAAGGAAAUGUUGAAGGAACCUUGGGGAUAAUACCUUGAAUUCAAUCCCCUGAUUUUACAGCUUUUAAGUGGAAGUACAUUUCCCACAAGGAAGAGGAAGUUUUAGGUGGCAAAACACAGUUUCACAAAAAGCCUUCAUGUCAAGAAUUCGACUGUGAAAUAGCUUGCUUGCCACAAUUGUUGUUGUUAUUUGUUUUUUCUUAAGACAAUGACUAUUUCUUUAAUAAUAGAUAAAUAAAACAAACA